CCUACGGGUGGCUGCAGUGGGGAAUAUUGGGCAAUGGGCGCAAGCCUGACCCAGCAACGCCGCGUGAAGGAAGAAGGCUUUCGGGUUGUAAACUUCUUUUCUGAGGGACGAAGAAAGUGACGGUACCCCAGGAAUAAGCCACGGCCAACUACGUGCCAGCAGCCGCGGUAAUACGGAGGUGGCAAGCUUUAUUCGGGUUUAUUGGGUGUAAAGGGAGUGUAGGCGGGAAAGCAAGUCUGUAGUGAAAACUCAGGGCUUAACCAUGGAACUGCAUUUGAAACUGUUUUGCUUGAGUGCAGGAGAGGCAAGCGGAAUUCCGAGUGUAGCGGUGAAAUGCGUAGAUAUAAGGAGGAACACCAGUGGCGAAGGCGGAUUACUGGACAGUAACUGACGCUGAGGCGCGAAAGCGUGGGGAGCAAACAGGAUUAGAUACCCGAGUAGUC
rnacentral:rRNA from 1 species